rnacentral:snoRNA from 1 species
CUUCAGUGAUGAUACAAUGACGAGUCGGAACGGGGCACAGUCUGUCUUGGGGGGGGGGGUGUCACUGAGUCAGAGUCAUGUUUUGUUUCUCUGGGUUCAGUUCCCCAGAGCAGUGUCUCUUCAGUUGAAGACAUAGAGGCAUUUGUCUAAGAAGA